rnacentral:rRNA from 1 species
GGCUGUCGUCAGCUCGUGUCGUGAGAUGUUGGGUUAAGUCCCGCAACGAGCGCAACCCACGUCUUUAGUUGCCAGCAUUCAGUUGGGCACUCUAGAGAGACCGCCGGUGAUAAACCGGAGGAAGGUGUGGAUGACGUCAAGUCAUCAUGCCCCUUACAUCCUGGGCUACACACGUACUACAAUGCUACGGACAAAGGGCAGCAAACUCGCGAGAGCUAGCAAAUCCCAUAAACCGUGGCUCAGUUCAGAUCGUAGGCUGCAACUCGCCUACGUGAAGGAGGAAUCGCUAGUAAUCGCAGGUCAGCAUACUGCGGUGAAUACGUUCCCGGGCCUUGUACACACCGCCCGUCACACCAUGGAAGUUGGCCACGCCCGAAGUCGUUACUCCAACCCUUGUGGAGGAGGAUGCCGAAGGUGGGGCUGAUGACUGGGGUGAAGUCGUAACAAGGUAGCCGUACCGGAAGGUGCGGCUGGAUCACCUCCUAA